GAGUGCCAAUGAGACAUCCAAAUAACAAUAUAUAAAAGUAAACAAUUAGAGGUAGGUACGGCCUUCAACACGGAGCCUUGGCUCACACCGAACAACAAGCUAUAAAGGGCCCCAAAAUUACAAGUGUAAAACCGUUCAAACGGGAAAACCAACGGUCUAAUAUAUAUAAAAAACGAGAAACGAGAAACAUGUAUAAAUUACAUUAACAAACGACAACUACUGUAAAUCCGAUAGUUUAUAAUUUAAU
rnacentral:lncRNA from 1 species